AAGACUAUACUUUUGAAAUCAUUUCUAUAUUUUAUUACCAGAGAAGUUUCUCUGAUCGUGUAGAGCACCUGAAACCAUGAGGAGGGGGGCACAGCAUCCUCUCCUGAGUGUGAAGUCAGCUCUAGGUGUUGCUUCUACAACUGCCUUUUGCCACUGAUAAUCAUUCUUUUCUUUCUUUAAGAGAGAAGAGGGAGGAGAAGACACAUAAAUAU
ensembl:snoRNA U3 Small nucleolar RNA U3